UGAAACACCGGUUCCCGUACGAUCAUCAAAGUUAAGCAACAUUGAGUGUGGUCAGUACCUAGAUGGGUGACCGCUUGGGAAUACUAGGUGCUGUAA